rnacentral:rRNA from 1 species
UACGAAGGGGGCUAGCGUUGCUCGGAAUCACUGGGCGUAAAGGGUGCGUAGGCGGGUUAUUAAGUCAGAGGUGAAAUCCUGGAGCUCAACUCCAGAACUGCCUUCGAUACUGGAGAGCUCGAGUCCGGGAGAGGUGAGUGGAACUGCGAGUGUAGAGGUGAAAUUCGUAGAUAUUCGCAAGAACACCAGUGGCGAAGGCGGCUCACUGGCCCGGUACUGACGCUGAGGUGCGAAAGCGUGGGGAGCAAACAGG